GACGAACGCUGGCGGUGUGCUUAACACAUGCAAGUCGAACGGAAAGGCCUUCUUGUGUGGUAUUCGAUUGGCGAACGGGUGAGUAACACGUGAGUAACCUACCCUUCUCUCUGGGAUAACUUCAGUAAACUGGGGCUAAUACCGGUUAUGAGCUACUGCUGCUUGGUUGGGGUUGGAAAGUUUCGGCGGUUGUGGAUGGACUCGCGGCUUAUUAGCUGCUUGUUGGGGUAUUGGCAGAUCACGGCUUUGACGGGUAGCCGGCCUGAGAGGGGGACCGGACACAGUGGAACUGAGAUAGGGACGAAACUGCGACGGAAGGCAGCAGUGGGGAAAAAUGCAGAAUGGGCGGAGGCGUGAUGAAGAAAAGCCGCGUGCGGGAUGAAGGCCUUCGGAGUGUAAGCCGAUUUAGCCUGUGACGAAGCGUGAGUGACGGUAAUGGGUAAAGAAGCACCGGCUAACUACGUG
rnacentral:rRNA from 1 species